ACGUCUUCUCAUUGCAUCCUCUCCUUUCUAAGCCUCUCAAGCUCCUUCACCAUCUGCCAGUGCUCCAGGGAAAGGCUCUUCUCACCAAAGCUUGAGGCUGUAAUCUGA
rnacentral:rRNA from 1 species